rnacentral:rRNA from 1 species
UACGUAGGGUCCAAGCGUUAUCCGGAAUCACUGGGCGUAAAGCGUGCGUAGGUGGCGCGUUAAGUGAGAUGUUAAAUCGUGUGGCUCAACCAUAUCGAUGCAUCUCAUACUGGCGUGCUAGAGGACAGCAGAGGCAAGUGGAAUUGGUAGUGUAGCAGUGAAAUGCGUAGAUAUUACCAGGAACACCAAUGGCGAAGGCAGCUUGCUGGGCUGCUCCUGACACUGAGGUACGAAAGCGUGGGGAGCGAACAGG